ensembl:sRNA
AAUUGCCCCAGAUGGAAAUGGAAAGCCUUUUUGAGAGGAACUUUAUUUUUUCUUGAACUAGAAAAGCGACUAAAAGAAGCUCUUUCUUGUUCUUAGAAAAAAAUAGUUGUGACAAAAAGCUUGCAGUGUACAGCUGGAUAAGGC